UAUGUUCAUUGCAUGGUUUAGUGGGCAUAAGGAAGUUACAUGGCUUAGGCUUUGUCAUUUUCAAGCUAUGUGUCCUUGGAGAAAUUGCUUGAGUAUUCCGUGCCUUAGUUUCCUCAUCUGUAAAACUGAGAUAAUAAUACUAUCUAGUUCACAGACUUGUGGUGAGGAUUACAAAUUUUAAUGUGUAAAGAGUUUAAAUAUGUGUAUAUUAUAAUGUACACUCAAUAAAUGGUAAUUCUGAUUGUGGUUAGAAUUAUUUGGCAUGAAGAAUUAUUUGGCCUUGAAGUCAGAAGAUAUUGCCACUUAUUGACUGUGGAAUCUCCUUGUUUUUUUUUUUUUUUAAAUGGAUGUAUACAGUAUCCGGAUCAUGUGGAAUAUUGUAAGCCACAAUAGCAGGUCUAGCAGGUCUAUGUUUUGUUUGUUUGUUUGUUUGUCUGAAUUGUAAUGGGCAGCAUCUGAGGUACCUUUUAGCAGGGAUGUUAAAUGGUCAGGUUAGCAUUUUACAAGAUUAUUCCAACUACUCUUUGGGGAAAAGACUGAGUGCAGGCGAUGCUAAGUAACCAGGUAGUUGUGAGACAUGACAGGGGCUCACGGUGGUCGAGGAGGAGAUGGAGCCUCAACGUGUAAAUUACAGACAGAUUCUACAGGGCUUCGUCGUGGACGGUGAUGUGAACGACUAUUCCUGGGUUUCGCAUCAACUAGACAGGAGGGCGACUCAAUGAAACAGCUGCAGGUACCUCCAUGUAUUCCGGAGCACAGUCAGAGAGAAUCCAAAAAGGAAGGAAUAAAAAUGCCCAUAGGGAAAAGAAGAGGCAAGGCAGGAAGACAAAGAGCUCAGAUUUGUGGGCAACCUCAAUGCUCCAUGGAGAGCUGAAGGAUGGCACUGCAGGCUGAGGGAACACGCACGGCUCACAGGAGAGGACACUGCCCUUGCUGAGGGACACCACGUUUGUCAUGCACAGAACAAUCCAGCUUUGAGUGGGUGCCUCACCAUAUUAUGUGGGCAUGGCCUUGCCACCGAAAUACAUGAUAAUGUCCCAAGGUGCAAAAAUGACUUCUUUCGCAUCUCUGGGGACAUUGAGCCCAGUCCCACGUGUAUAAGAGAGUUCUCGGUAAGAGCUUUUUGAAUCAAGAAGAUUGUUGGGUAAAAGAUAAAGCAUUUAUUCAUCAUCAACAUUUUGAGAGCCUCUAGGCUCCACUAGGCUUUGGGAUUAUAGAAGAUGAAUAAGACAGAGCCUGUGUCCUUAGGACAUGAAUCUUCCCUAUUCACCUCGCCUUUCUUGAUCUCCUUCCUGCUCCCUCUCACCUUCUGCCCGCUGUCUGCUUCUUUUCUCUCUCACUCACUCACACACACACACACACACACGCAUGCACAUGCAUACAUCCUCCCCACACUGCACCAAAAACGGGGGAUGAACAGUCUAGAGUAUAACACUGAAUCUCCUUGUGAUAGAACCUAGGUCUGCUCAGCCCGGCUCCAUCCUCCUUAGCUCAGGUUAAACAUGACAGGUCCUCUUCGCAACGAUGGCAAAGUGAAAGCAAGCAAGCCCAGCUCUACAAGCCAGUUUGAAGCCUCUGCCUGCACUACAUUUUCCAACAUCUUGGCCAAAGAAAAUCACAAAAGCAGAGUCCAAAGUCAAGGUGCGGGCAUGUAUAAUAUGCCUCUCACAGGAAAAGCUAUAAAAUCAAUUGGCACAUGGCAUAGGUUUAAGGAUGGAUGCAGAACCACAGUUACCUUGGACAAGUCUUUUCUGUUCUCCAGGUGUCCCCCACAGUGUGAAAUGCAGUCCUACAGCAGCACAUAACAAUGAUUAUAGGUGGCACGUGAACUUUAGUGCAUCUUGCAUGUGGUAUUAAUUAAUAUUAAGCCCCUAAAAAGGUAAUGAUGAUUCACUUUUGAAAUUGCUUUCAAUAUUGCCAGUCACAUCAAUGGGAAAGUCUGAGUUCCUGUUUUUAACAAGCCCAUGGCCUUUGCUGAUUCCCCAUUUCAACAAGGAGCUAGCAGGUCACAAUGUCAAGCUAGAAUUCCAAAAGCUUCCUUUGUUUUCGUUUUGUUUACCUUUGACUGUAUUGUAUUCAUAGCUACUUCUAUGGGAUGCUGACUUCUAUUUAGUUACUUAUGUAAAGUUUCCUUUUUUUAAGAUUUUUAUUUUUUCUAUUAUAGUUGAUUUACAAUGUUCUGUCAAUUCUGCUGUACAGCAAAGUGACCCAGUCAUACAUAUAAGUUUCUUUAAAAAUACAUGUAUUUAAAUAAAGACUUGAGCCUUUUUAAAGAAAAUAUAAAAUAAAUUGUUGGUGGCAUGGGGACAGCAAAAAAUCAUGGCUAUGGGGCUUGAAUCACUGAAGUCUGGGAAAUUCUGGAUUUAUUGAUCUUUAUGGUUCUGAGAUCUCAAGACCACUGCCAGCCUCACUGCUCCAGCUCUGGGCUCCACUUUUACCCCCAAGGCUUUACCAGAGGAAAAUCAACAGAAAGGGGGCUGUCUUUCUCUUCUAAAGAUUUCUAAGACCUUUCCUCCCCCUCCCCUCUAAAUUCCAGGGGCCCAGCUGCUAAUAGGAUGGCCUAGACUGAUAUAUUUGAUUGACAGGCUCAUCCCUACCGAAGGUCCAGUCAGUCUCCCCAGGGCUGUCCCUGCCCUUGGCAUUGUGACAUGUGGGCCCAGAUUCCAAAUGUCAUGUCCCAUCUCCUCAUGGCACCAAAGCACCCUCGUGAGCAGGAAACCCUAACAGAUGGCUGAAAUGCCUUCAAAAAGACUCCCCCAGACAGCCCGGGAGAUGCACGGAGUCUUGUCGGUGGUGAUGGGUUGCAACAUAUGUUCAGCAAAACAUGCCAAAGGGAAGAGUGACUUCUGUACCCACCACAUCCACAGAACAGUGGUUCAAAUGCUGCAUAUCAGCUGCUUUAGACAGAGGGCCAUUUACGUUUCUAAAAUAUCUAUUCAAUCCCUGAUCUCCAUCCUUGGCUUCCUGGACUUUGAAUGAACCUAAAAGGGUGUGACGGAAAACUUUUUCUUGACAUUGAAUAUUUCAUUAAAAAAUAAAUGCAUAUAUAUGUGUGACAGAGUCACUCUGCUGUACAGCAGAAAUUGAUACAACACUGUAAAUCAAAUAUAUUUUAAUUAAAAAGAAAGUAAAUGAAUAGGAAAAGGCCCCCCUUUUCACAGUAAGUGUUGUUCCUUCUGGUUCAAGAAUUUCUAAUAUGGAUUUUGUGGACCCUUAAAAAGCCCAUGGCGGGUCUUAAAGAGGCCUGUCAAGCUUCCAAAAUUACCUGCAAAAGUUUGUGUGUGUGUAGGUAUAGGGGUUUUUCUGGAGAAAGGGUCUGAAACUAGCUCAGAUUAUCAAAUGGUCCAUGUCUCAUUCGAAACCACUGCUCUAACAGUACACCUUAGAGAAAUGACAUGGUGGAAAAAUGUCAAAAUUAUUUUCAAAUAAACUGGGACUUAAUGUAGGGCAACAAUAUUCUCCCCUUCAUAGUAACAUGAAGAAAGACAUUUGUCAUAUACCAUCCCUAUAAUUUCAAAGAAAGUUAUUUCAGUGUAGCAGGACAUGAACAAAAAUGCAGUGAGGUCAUAAAUUGAGAUUAAAAGCAUUAAUUUUGAGAGUUCCCAUCGUGGCGCAGUGGUUAACGAAUCCGACUAGGAACCAUGAGGUUGCGGGUUUGAUCCUUGGCCUUGCUCGGUAGGUUAAGGAUUCAGGGUUGCCAUAAGCUGUGGCAUAGGUUGCAGGUGCAACUCAGACCCAGUUUUGCUAUGGCUGUGGCAUAGGCCUCAGCUUCAGCUCCCAUUUGACCCCUACCCUGGAAACUUCCAUAUGCUGCAGGUAUGGCUGUAAAAAGAAAAAAAAAUGUUUAUGCAAAGGCUGUGACCUCACUGACUCUUGCACUAAGAGCCCAAAGGAAGAGAUCAUUGUCAGAGCAUCCCCUGGAAACAAACAGCAUGAGACAAAAAGAGACAGCCAACAAAAUGUGGGGGGAAGAUGCAGACCAGACCAAAAAACAAGAGGUUCAAAGUGAUAGGAAGCUGGGAGUUGAUUUCAGAAUCCACCACAUAGUAUGCAGAGUUGCAGACAAUCUUAGGAGAGCUUUCAUUCUUAACAGUGUGUUUGCUUUUCUUUUAACUUCUUUGUUGUUCCUAUAAAGUCCUGUGCUACAAGAACCUCUUUGGCUAUUUUUGGGUGGUAAAAUCUGAACUCAGUAGAUACUUCCAGGUAACUACAAUUAGCAGCAGUAACUAUUAGUCACGUACGUAGAUGAGUAAGUAAUAGUAGGUACUCCUAGGGAGGUUCUAAGUAUGAUCACUUAUGUUCCUGCUACACAGAUGACAAUGAUAUUCCCCUUUCAACUGAUAAACCAAAGUUCAGAGAGGUUAAUUACCUUGACCAAGUACACAAAGCCAGUGAUGGGUAUCUGGGAAUUUGCUGAGAGCACCAAGAGCUCAAGAGAACACAGGGCACAGGGAAGCAACCAGUUUAGGUCCCAGAGGGGCCAGGGCUCUAGGUAUCAGGUGCCAUUCUGAGACCAGUCUUAAGUUUUUGAUACAUAAAGACUGAAAGCUAUGCUCCACAAUUUCUUUUUUUGUUUUUUUCUUUUUAGAGUUGCAUUGGUGGCAUUUGGAAGUUCCCAGACUUGGGGUUGAAUUGGAGCUGCAACCGUCAGCUUACACCCCAGACACGGGAACAGCAGAUCUGAACUGCAUCUGCAACCUAUGCUGCAAGUUGUGGCAAUGCUGGAUCCUUAACCCACUGAGCAAGACCAGAUAUUGAACCUGCAUCAUCACAGAUACUAUGUCAGGGUCUUAACCCACUAAGCCACAAUGGGAACUCCUAUGCUUUACAAUUUACAGGUACUCAAACUAACAGAAGAUUCAUAAAGAUGACUGAAUGGUUGGAAAAUAUCCAUUAUUCCUCCUGCGAGGCUGUACUGUGAUUACUUUAAAGAAGAGAAGGCUGACAUAAAUUAGGAACCUGGAAAAUGUAAAUGAAUUUUAGAGUGGGUCAGAAGAUGUAAGCUAUAGAAGGGAAAUAGAAAGUUAUCCUGCAAAACUAGAUGAAAAUACUGGGGUACAUAGGGUUGCAAUGAUA
rnacentral:lncRNA from 1 species